UAGGGAAUCUUCGGCAAUGGGGGCAACCCUGACCGAGCAACGCCGCGUGAGUGAAGAAGGUUUUCGGAUCGUAAAGCUCUGUUGUAAGUCAAGAACGGGUGUGAGAGUGGAAAGUUCACACUGUGACGGUAGCUUACCAGAAAGGGACGGCUAACUACGUGCCAGCAGCCGCGGUAAUACGUAGGUCCCGAGCGUUGUCCGGAUUUAUUGGGCGUAAAGCGAGCGCAGGCGGUUUGAUAAGUCUGAAGUUAAAGGCUGUGGCUCAACCAUAGUUCGCUUUGGAAACUGUCAAACUUGAGUGCAGAAGGGGAGAGUGGAAUUCCAUGUGUAGCAGUGAAAUGCGUAGAUAUAUGGAGGAACACCGGUGGCGAAAGCGGCUCUCUGGUCUGUAACUGACGCUGAGGCUCGAAAGCGUGGGGAGCGAACAGGAUUAGAUACCCUGGUAGUCCACGCCGUAAACGAUGAGUGCUAGGUGUUGGAUCCUUUCCGGGAUUCAGUGCCGCAGCUAACGCAUUAAGCACUCCGCCUGGGGAGUACGACCGCAAGGUUGAAA
rnacentral:rRNA from 1 species